GAACUGCGAGAUCAUGCGCUGAGCUGAAGUCGGACACCUAACCAACAGCCCCCAGGCGCCCCUCCUUAUUGGCUAAUUUAAAGCCUUGUGUGGGAAUUAAGGUACUGGAAGGGAGAAGCAAGGUUACCGAAAUGGUCAAUUAUCUAGGUUCCUCAGGGCUUUCUGGAACUAGGCGCUUCAUGAAUGAAGAUGGCCCAGUCCCUUCUCUGGUUGUUUUGCUAGUACUUGUGUCAAAAAGCUGGCAAUAUUUCUAUUAUUUAGAAUGGAUGUCUUUUGAAAUGGAUGCCUCAGUGGUCAAAAGCUUAAUGUCAGGUACUUAUUCCUAUGCUAGCUUUUACGCUAAUAAUUGUGUGGUUUUUUUUUUUAAGUGCAUUAAUCUUUUGGGGCGUCUGGGUGGCUCAGUCGGUUAAGCAACCGACUCUUGAUUUUAGCUCGUCAUGAUCUCACAGUUCAUGGGUUCUGGCCCCGCAUGGGGUUUGCUGCUGUCAUUGCGGAGCAAACUCUGUAUCCUCUGUCCCUCUCUCUCUGCCCCUCCCCCGCUCGUGCUCUCUCGAGCGCGCUCUGUCACGUUCAAAAAUAAAUAAACAUUAAAAAAAUAAAAAAUAAAAUACACUCAGAUAAUCCCGUCAGGACUGUUUCACAGGAAGAGACAGCCGAAAUUGCGCCUGGUGGAGUUCGUUCCCACUCACACCCGCUCGGCCGCAGGGUCGUGCCUUCGGCUGUUCUGGGGGGACCCAGCGCCAGGGCGAGCAGCAAGGCUCCCCGAGCGCCGAGACCUAGGCGCGAGCGCGCGUGGGUUUACCGCCGGGUCGCGAGACCUUGGCUGCGGCCGCGGGUUCUGCGCUUGCGCCUGCGCAUUCAGAGCCCGGCGCUGGCCGCGGGAAGGUGUGUCCCGAAGCCCCGGGGCGGUGGUCGCGGAGGCUCCCGGGACAGGGAUGGUGCGCUGUCGGUGGUUCCGCCCCCGCGCCCUGCCAUUCUCCAAAAGAAGGAGGAAAAAUGGUUGUACAUCCGAAAGUCCAGCUCAGCCAUACUGGGAGAUUCUCCAACACACGGGACAUGUCUGAUUCAUCACUGUAUCCAUGCUCCGGGCCCAGGAGAGCAGAGGUCCAAUGAACUGCUGAGCAAAGGAGCGAUCGUGACAAUGGCUAUCAUUUACUGUCCACUCUCUACGUGCCAGGUAUGGUUCUAGAAGCUUUAUAUUGAUUCAAUCUUCUGAAUA